ensembl:lncRNA
UGUGAACGACAACUGUUUUCCACACUAGAUUCUCCUGACCGUAAUGAAGGAGCCAUCUUCUGUGGAUCAUUUCUGGAACCAAACUGUGGAGAAGCGAUAAUCUCUGAGCUCCUUGGGGUCAGACCACUGUAUUUUUCUAACAUGCAAGGUGCUUGGUAGGAUGCAUGUCACUGCAACUUGAGCCCAUAGGAUGGCACAUCUGAUCACUCCUGCCCACAUCAGCUCUGUUUUUACUUUGUCUUUCUCCGCCAAGUGUGACCAGAAGUAUCCAGUACUCCAGGUUGGGUCAAGUCUAGACCUCACACAGGGCAUUAAUACCUUCUGGUCUGUCCUGGAUUUGUCUUGCCUGGUGUAGCUUUGGGUAAUGCUGCCCUUUUCCAAGCCACAACAUAGCGGUAGUUUGGAGUCAUCCCCUAACCGACCUUAACACCUACAUCUUUCUACUCUUCCAGCAUUUCUAACCAAAAUACUCCCUGCUGUUCCAGAUGUUGGGUCAUCAGCACGUUUCAUUAACAAACUGUUAUUUUUGGGCUGGAUCAACUAAUAAAAACAUUCAGUACUUCAGGCAUCAAGAGCAACCCUAGAGAGCUACUUUUACUACCUCCAUCCAGCCCAAAGAUUUUCCUAUCAAUAAAACCCUUCUCACCCUCCCUUUGGCCAUUCGCUUUAUUUCACAAAACCUGUGCUAAGCCCAUCUUGUAUAGAUGAAUUACUCAUUUCCCGCUAUUAAACACUAUUCCACAGUCCUGAAAGAGGACAUCUAAUUCUUGUCCCUGAUGGGGAAUCUCAGGUAUCCCAUCCUAUUAGCUGGGCAUUAGCUACACUUGGAUGCCUAUUGCAUUUUAUCCCAUACGUACGUUCAUUUUAAUUAUUCUUAACAUCAAAACCCGUUCUGGCUGUUUAAGGGAUAAUUUGUCAGCAAAACUCACCUCCUUCUUCCUCCUUCAGGUACACCACAAUGGUACCAUUCCCCUUCUAGAGAGGUGUGACCAAAUAGUUGCCAUUGGCCCUGUGAUGCCAAGGGCCAGCUCUCACAACUGCGGUACUUUCCCAUCCUUACUCAACUAUUCCCACCACCCUGCCAAUGUAGUUUGCAAAGCAAGCCUGCAGCCCAAGCUGGGAAAUCUCUCCUCAAAGAUGGCUUAGGAAGGGUGAGCUCACCCCACGUGGGGACCUGGCUCCAGCCCCCAUUCCCUCUCUCUGCUGCCAACGCUCCAGUCCUGGCGUGACCCAGAGGAACGGGGUCAGCAGAAACGUUGGCUGUUCUGAGCCCAGCAGUUUUGCAGCCAUGGUUUCUCCGGUGAGGUUCUGAAGGGAACCAGUCCCUCCGGGUUUUUACUUUUGACCAUCAGUCAUUUUGUUUGGAUGUGUUUUCGUGUUUAGAGGUAGACCCAAACUGGGUGCCCCCCCCCCCCUACAAAGGGAGACGUGCCACAGCUUGGGCCCAUCUCUAGUGCAAUAUCUUUUAUUUGUAGAUUAUAUUUUACUCUGCAGCUGUCAAUUGUUAUCAGCACCAAUAUACGCAUAAUCCUACUGCCAGACACUAUUUCAUAGGUACCUAAGUGUAUCCCAGAAACUAAUGCAACACUCCAGAGUCUCUUUCUGUGUUUAAGAUGCUUCUCAGACUGACGUGUGCACAGGUUCUAAGCCUUCUGUCCUUCUCGGUUUGAGCGUGUUGUUACUUUUCUAAAGUGAGAGUGUCACGUUUAGUGUUUGUUUGUGUUGUGUUAAGAAUCCUAGAGCACAGCGGACUUUAAUGUAACUCAGUUGUCUCUGUUCACCUGUCAGUAGGACUGUGGUGGAGCCCCACAGCGUGGGAGGCAGAAGUGCAGUGCAGACGUGCAGCCAGGGGAAGUGGGCCAGAAGGGAGAAAUGGCUCUUCCCCUUCUUCCCAGCCAGGGCUCGGGGCCGGGGUGGGCAGCACCACAGGCACAGGGCUCUGGGUUUGGCCUGUAGGAAAGCCUGAAGUCUGCGUGUGUAAAGCUGGGCAGAUCUGAAGAAGGGGAUUCACGCCGUCACUCCGCAGCAUCUCUGAACUGCACAGCACCUGCCUCCACGCCAUCUGCCAGAAACCACCCCGGGGCAAGGGGAAAAAACAGAGUUCAGACUAAGGUACCAAAGAGUUAACAUUUUCCUAGGUUUACAGACGUAUUUGUAGGACUUGUACUAUGUCACAUCUAUAGCCACGAGAUAUUAUUUUUAUGCUGUAAACUUUUACAAAUACAUUUUUAAAGAAAGAGUUUAAAAAUAAAGGUGUUUUU